AACGCACCUUGCGCUCUCUGGUAUUCCGGAGAGCAUGCCUGUUUGAGUGUCAUGAACUCUUCAACCCUCCAGUUCCUUGUUGAACUGAUAGGUGUUUGGAUUUUGAGCGCUGCUGGCCUAACCCUUUCGAGGGCACAUGGCGAAGCUCGUUCGUAAUACAUUAGCAACUCAAUUUCGAGUAUUCGGAUUGACUCGGCGUAAUAGACUAUUCGCUGAGGACACUUGUUUAUUCAGGUGGCCGAAUCUUGAGGUAGUAGCUUCUAAACUCGAUCAACAGUCAAAUUUUUAGAUUAGACCUCAGAUCAGGCAGGAUUACCCGCUGAACUUAA
rnacentral:misc_RNA from 1 species